rnacentral:rRNA from 1 species
AACGUACGCUGGCGGCACGCCUAACACAUGCAAGUCGAACGAAGUAGCAAUACUUAGUGGCAGACGGGUGAGUAACAUGUGGGUAUCUGCCCUUUGGCCUGGAAUAACACGAGGAAACUUGUGCUAAUACCGGAUAAGUCUUUACGGAGAAAGCUUUAUGCACCAUUGGAUGAGCCCGCACUUGAUUAGUUUGUUGGUGGGGUAAUGGCCUACCAAGACUGUGAUCAAUAGCUGAUUUGAGAGGAUGAUCAGCCACAUUGGGACUGAGACACGGCCCAAACUCCUACGGGAGGCAGCAGUGGGGAAUCUUGCACAAUGGAGGAAACUCUGAUGCAGCGAUGCCGCGUGAGUGAAGAAGGCCCUUGGGUUGUAAAGCUCUUUCGUCGGGGAAGAAAAUGACUGUACCCGAAUAAGAAGGUCCGGCUAACUUCGUGCCAGCAGCCGCGGUAAUACGAAGGGACCUAGCGUAGUUCGGAAUUACUGGGCUUAAAGAGUUCGUAGGUGGUUGAAAAAGUUAGUGGUGAAAUCCCAGAGCUUAACUCUGGAACUGCCAUUAAAACUUUUCAGCUAGAGUAUGAUAGAGGAAAGCAGAAUUUCUAGUGUAGAGGUGAAAUUCGUAGAUAUUAGAAAGAAUACCAAUUGCGAAGGCAGCUUUCUGGAUCAUUACUGACACUGAGGAACGAAAGCAUGGGUAGCGAAGAGGAUUAGAUACCCUCGUAGUCCAUGCCGUAAACGAUGUGUGUUAGACGUUGGAAAUUUAUUUUCAGUGUCGCAGCGAAAGCGAUAAACACACCGCCUGGGGAGUACGACCGCAAGGUUAAAACUCAAAUGAAUUGACGGGGACCCGCACAAGUAGUGGAGCAUGUGGUUUAAUUCGAAGAUACGCGCAGAACCUUACCAACACUUGACAUGUUCGUCGCGACUUUAAGAGAUUAAAGUUUUCGGUUCGGCCGGACGAAACACAGGUGCUGCAUGGCUGUCGUCAGCUCGUGUCGUGAGAUGUUGGGUUAAGUCCCGCAACGAGCGCAACCCUCACUUUUAGUUGCCAUCAUUUAGUUGGGCACUCUGAAAGAACUGCCAGUGAUAAGCUGGAGGAAGGUGGGGAUGACGUCAAGUCCUCAUGGCCCUUACGUGUUGGGCUACACACGUGCUACAAUGGUAUCUACAACAGGAAGCAAGACUGCGAGGUCAAGCAAAUCCCUAAAAGAUACCUCAGUUCGGAUUGCACUCUGCAACUCGAGUGCAUGAAGCUGGAAUUACUAGUAAUCGUGGAUCAGCGUGCCACGGUGAAUGCGUUCCCGGGUCU